AAACCGGCGAAGAAGUUAACCAAAUUCAGGCUUGGGUGCAUACACAUAGAGGAAUUGAUGAGAGCAAACCUCUAAUUCUCAAUACACCAGAAGCUACUAAAUGUCUGGCACUUUACACAAAAAGGCUAAAGAGUUAAAUGGAGAGAACUAUGAUACUCUAAAAAUGUUGUUAGUUCGAAGGCACUUUAUGACUACUCUAAUGGGAAGCCACAUGGAAAAUGGCCUCUCUUUAAUGGCAUUAUCAAUGACACCGAGGUAAUUGCUGAGCUUAGAGCUACUGGUGCAUCUUCAGCGGCCUUGAAGCGUCGCCGAGCUGAAGAAAUUGAGGAUGUGCUUCAAAAGGAGUCAGAGAAGGCUCGAAAGGCAGAGGCUUAUGCCAACAAUGUCUUGUCAUGGGGUGUUGGCAUGUAUGAGCACUGCAAUGGGAUACAAAAGUUUCUUCAGGCUUUUGCAACUAACCAAGGAGUGCCUCUUGGUGAAAUACCACCACCGCCAGUUCCACCACCUGCUCACUCAUGGUCUCCUCCUGGAUCUCCACAACAAUCUACUAUCCAAG